UCCUUUUGUAUGUGUGUGGUUGUGUGUAUGCUUGUGUCCUUUACCAUGAAGAAUCCUCAUCAACAGGACCAUUUGUCCAUUUUUCCAUGUCUGUCCAUAACUUGCUUUCACCCUGGUCAGGAUCUCAUACAGUGCACACAGAGUUAUCUACAGUAAAACACUAUCACAUCUACAGUAGUGUUCCUGUAGAGAAAUUUUCAGAGACGUCAGCCUCACUUUAGUAACCAGGAGUCCGGAAAUGUUCACCUGCCUGUGAGUGGGCUGAUCUGUGAGUCAGUAGAGUCCAUGAUUGGUAAAUGACAGGUGUGGUUUAUGUGUAGUUAUUAACAGAUGUAGUUUGAAUGGGGUUUUACAGGUAGGCAUUAUCACCGGUGAUUGAUGGGCGGCGGUUGGCAUUAAAGACUGACAGGUGAAGCUCUGUGGAAUCUAGUCUCUAUUAGAGGAGCAUCAGGUGCCUGUCUGUGUGUUUGUCUGUGCGCACAUGUGUGUAUUUGUGUGUGAGACUUUGUGUGGAGGGUCACAGGAACUGAAUGGAGCAUGAUUCACAGCGAACAACCCCUCAUACCUCGUCCCGGAGGCGCCACAGCACAGCCGAAGCCGGCAAGGCCGCCGGCCAGCCUGCCAGAAGGAGUUAAGGGAGCAGGAGUCCUUGAUCGCAAGUCUGGGUGCCAGGAAUGGCAAAAGAGCAAGGGAGCAGCUGCUCUCCGAGCACCCUGGGAGGAAGAGCUUGGAGCGUAACAUCACCAUCACCAUCACCAUUCAUGACCCUGAGUGUGUGGAAGUGGCUCCCUGGGCACUGCUUCCUGGAAGAAGAAAGGACCGGAAACUCAGCCACCCAUGUCUGCCAGACCACUUUCAGAUUCACUCUGUCGAAGCAAUCAUUCAAAAGAAGGAAGGAAACAAACUGGGGGCUUCACAACCGUCCACGGUGGGAGGAUCUUGGGUUUCAUGGCUUGCUACCACUGUGUACGGUCACUUCACAGUGUGGCUGGUGUCCAGGCCAAAACUCCACAGUGCCAUCUGUUGCUUGGUAGUAAAAUGACAUCAUAUUGUAUGUAAUGCUGUCAGUAAAAAUGCGUAUUUUAAAGAAGGAUAUAUCUUCAACCAUACUAAGGGUGUUGAGUUUCUGCUACUUAAAACUGUUUACCCAUUUAUACAGCUGAGUAAUUUUCACUCAAGUAAUUUAUAGUAAGUACCUUGUGUAAGGGUCGUAAAGCUUGAAGUAGAAUUCAAACCUGCAACCUUUGGGUCUUAAAGGCAGCAGCUCUAACCACUCUGCUACCAGCUGGCCUUUUGAGUGGUUUGGAGGUAGUGUAGGGAGCUGAGCAUACAAAGCGGAGAUGGGUAAAAGAACAGCCACCCGCAAUGAGCAUCCCACACACCUCAAGUUUUUUAGCUAGUGACAGAGUUCCUCACUUUACCUCACAAAGGUCAUGUUCUGGUUAAGCAGUUUACUAAGAUGUUCAGAUGCAGGCCCUUCUCAUUAAUGUGUUUCCUGCUCUCUGACUUCAGUGCAAUAACCUUUGUGCUUUCCAGGACCCAGUUGUCAGAUGCCAGAGGUGAGGGUUCCCCAGUCAGACUGGGUUGCCUCCUUCAGGAUGAGUGAAGCUGGAAAUGUUUUCUGAAUGCCUGUCAGGCAUCUCCGAUGCUGGACUAUGAGAGAAGAGCCAUCAAGAUGUGACAGCUCCUGUCUAUUUACUGUGUGAUAAAAAUAAUCCAUAAUCAGCUGCCUUUGCAGAGUCAGUGUCGGUGUCAAUGCCAGCAUCUCUGAGAAAGCCAGAAAAGAUAGAGAAGCGGGGGUGAGCAUUUUAUCACAUGGGUGACAGCGUGUUCUGCGCUCAUAGAGAUCAGACAGGUCAGGCUUUUGCGUUCACUAACGUGCACCACCGGACAGAGCGAAGGUCUUCAUUCACUGCCUAGUACCUGGAUGCUGAACCACCAGAAGGCCCAGUCACGGUGAGUAUGUGUACUGGAUCAACUGGAGGGGAUUCUGGGCUCUGUAACGAGCAUAUCCCUUUGCAUGCAGGCUGCUUCACAGUGGAUUUUGCUUACAUAAGCCACCACCCCACCCUUAGGCCAUAUGAAUGGUAACGGUAAUUAGGUUUGUCUUUUGCUUAGCUUUACAAAAUGGAUAAAUUCCAGCUUUGUUGAUGCAUACUUGUCCAUACAGGUCCAAACUUGAUAUUCAAGAUUUUAAUUUGAAGACCAGUUUCACUGUCACUGUGGGUGGAUGGUUAUGUCAUCUGACCUCAGAGCUACGCUGCCAUAGCAAUGACAUUCAUCUCACAGAACGCAGCUUCUGCUUUCAAUAUUCCAUAUAUUAUUUAAUCGCCAAGGUUACUGCCUGCUGUUUGCACCCCCCUGCAUGUCUGUGGGAGCAGCAAGGGCUUUCAUGCUUCCAGCAAUCGGACAUCUGUGGAAACUAUCACUGUCUUUGCUGGGCCCCCACUGUAUCAUCAGGCAAUAUGUCCCUGGAAGCUGGUUUCACAUGGUGGUUUAGAUGUAUGCCCCGGGGUCUAGCACCAUUUGAAAUCAGUGUUCCUGGAGACAGAAGAGCAGCACCCUGAAGCCACCAGUCCAAGAGUCUUCAGAUAGGUGUCAGAGGGAACAAUAGUGACCAUACAUUCACUCUUUCUUAAUCUCUGAAGGAACUUAGACUUUGUAACAGUAAGACCUUUAACGUGGGAAAGAAAUGUUUCACAGCUCAGUUAUUCCUGCAGAUGUAACGUUCCCAGUGUGUUUUUCUUCACUCUUUCCGCCAACAAUGGCAGAAGGGAUGUUUACAGCUAUGUCACUGUGUUUCGUAGGAGGGAGGUGUUUCUCCAUGAUGGUCUUGGUCCCUCAGGGUCUCACUGUAGUCAUACUGAAUACUUAAUGUGGGUUCAUUCUCCUUCCAAGCAUCUUUUGAGUCAAUGAAAUCUGACCAGCAGUGCAAAGGUCAUGGUCGCGACCCUUCAGCGGACUGUCAUCCCUACUGAAGGAUGACUGAUUUCCUCUGGUGCUUAGAGUUCACUCUGCUUUCUAGCACCAUUUGAAAUCGGUUAUAAUGACUGUGGAUCAAAUCGUUGCGCUCUCAUCUGAUUCAUCAGCACAACCCAACAAUGAGUACCACUGAGUCCUAGUCCACACUGCUCUGUGUUACAGUGCUAUUGUUAAAUGAAACAGCAACUCUCACUGUUCUUAUUUAGUGUAUUUGUACUUUGUUAUGAAGUCCGUGGAGAUUCUUCUAUUAACUGCCUUGCUCUUUUAUUUUUAUAGAAGCCUUUGGCAAACUAUUUUUGGUGGCCUGUACCCCACCCGGGGUGAUGGACAAAACUAUCUCUUUUCUAACUCUUUUCUGAACUUGUUGUUUUGUUUGUUCUUUAGUCCAGUGUGUUGAACAGCACACCCACAUGCUUAGAACCAUAGUGCUCCAGUUUUGAGAUGUUCCUUUUAAGUAAUGAUUAAUGAAAACCUGGCUCUCUUAGGGAAAUGACAUAACAUCCAAACAGUGACUGCUAAGGAGUAAUAAAAAAACAAACCCGGAGGCUUUUCAGCAGCAAGGUCACCUGUCCAUGUUAUAAGCAACUUGAGAUUUCACAGAUUGUAUGGAGAGUGAAUUAUCAACAAGCUGCUUGUCUUUAUGGCAUACAUGCCUUAGACCUGUGUUACACCAACAACACUAUUCAUUCCUUUAAGGAUGAGGUUGAAGUCAUUGUCAGUAGGUCUAGUGGUCUGUGUGGAAGGCAGUAGUGUAAGCCACACACCACCUCUUGAACUAGCAUUUUACACUUAUAUAAUCUUCCCUUUAAAGGGGACAAACUCUUGUUAUUGUCUAAUUUUUCCAGUAAUGUUUUUAUUACUGAUAAGGCUUUAUUUCUUGUCUUUUGAGAUGACAGAUUAUUUUUCAUUUAAUUUAAAAGCUUCCAGCUUCCAUUUAACAAUGGACUUUGUGAAGCAAAGGGCCAAAGUUUAUUUUUUACAUGUGUGACCUUGAGUUAAUACUUUGAAUUUAGGUGAGUAUGGAGAGCAAGGCACACAAUGAUUGUAGUGAGAUGGGGCUCAAGAAAAGGGAACACAUCCCCAUUCCAUGGGUGGGAUCUGUUCUGAAGCACAGGUACCAGACCAGAGUUGAGGUCAAGGUAGAAAAGUUGCAAAAAAGUUGCAGCCAGUUUCACAAGCAUAUAGGUAACCAGGCAGAUCACAUCUCUCCAAGGUUUUCUGCUUUCUUUCAUUGCUCACCGAUUAACCUUCAUCUAAGCAAGUAACACACAUACAUUAAUUGGUGCUCAGAAUAAAUGUCCAUAGGGUAUAAUUUUGGUUUUUUGCCAGUGAUCCAUUAGGAGGUAUGGAGCAACCUUUCAUCUGUGCUGUAUUAACAUAUUGUACAUGAGAGCAUCAAUCAACAAAACACUUUAUAUUUCACAUGUAUGAACAGGGAUGCAGACUGACAUGAUAAAUCACAAAAAUGGUAGCAAGCCGUCCUUGAAGGAAAGAAUGGGGUUUGGUUUAAGAACAUAUAAAUUUCUUGUGCAUUAAGGUUAGCUUGUCCUUGUAUUUGACUUUCUUCUAGCCUUGUAUUAAUAUGCAAACACACACUUGAAUGCACAUAGUCUUUCCUGAGAUACUGUAAAUCUGUCACUUCAACUAGAUUAAUUCAGUCUUACCUUGGGAUAAGGAUUGUCUGAGGUUCAAAUGUCUGAACCGCUUGUCCCAUACGGAGUCGCCGGGAGCCAGAGCCUAACCUAGCAACACAAGGCA